AGAGUUUGAUCCUGGCUCAGGACGAACGCUGGCGGCGUGCUUAACACAUGCAAGUCGAACGAUGAAGUGGAGCUUGCUCCACGAAUUAGUGGCGAACGGGUGAGGAACACGUGAGAAACCUGCCUCGGAUUUUGGGAUAACAAAUGGAAACGUUUGCUAAUACCAAAUAACGUCGGAGAGUCACAUGGCUUUCUGACGAAAGGAAUUCCGAUUCGAGAGGGUCUCGCGGCCUAUCAGCUAGUUGGCGGGGUAAUGGCCCACCAAGGCAACGACGGGUAGCUGGUCUGAGAGGAUGGUCAGCCACACUGGGACUGAGACACGGCCCAGACUCCUACGGGAGGCAGCAGUGGGGAAUCUUGCGCAAUGGGCGAAAGCCUGACGCAGCAACGCCGCGUGCGGGAAGAAGGCUUUCGGGCUGUAAACCGCUUUCAGCAGGAACGAAAAUGACGGUACCUGCAGAAGAAGGAGCGGCCAACUACGUGCCAGCAGCCGCGGUGACACGUAGGCUCCAAGCGUUGUCCGGAUUUAUUGGGCGUAAAGAGCUCGUAGGCGGUUUAGUAAGUCGGGUGUUAAAACUCUGGGCUCAACCCGGNNAGGCCAUCCGAUACUGCUGUGACUUGGGUUCANNNNNGGAGCGGGGAAUUCCUAGUGUAGCGGUGAAAUGCGCAGNUAUU
rnacentral:rRNA from 1 species